AAAGGAAUUGACGGGGACCCGCACAAGCGGUGGAGCAUGUGGUUUAAUUCGAAGCAACGCGAAGAACCUUACCAGCUCUUGACAUCUUCUGACAACUCUAGAGAUAGAGUGUUCCCUUCGGGGACAGAAUGACAGGUGGUGCAUGGUUGUCGUCAGCUCGUGUCGUGAGAUGUUGGGUUAAGUCCCGUAACGAGCGCAACCCUUGUUGCCAGUUGCCAGCAUUUAGUUGGGCACUCUGGCGAGACUGCCGGUGACAAACCGGAGGAAGGUGGGGAUGACGUCAAAUCAGCAUGCCCCUUAUGAGCUGGGCUACACACGUGCUACAAUGGAUGGUACAGCGAGUCGCUAAACCGCGAGGUCAAGCUAAUCUCCUAAAGCCAUUCUCAGUCCGGAUUGCAGGCUGCAACUCGCCUGCAUGAAGCCGGAAUCGCUAGUAAUCGUGGAUCAGAACGCCACGGUGAAUACGUUCCCGGGUCUUGUACACACCGCCCGU
rnacentral:rRNA from 1 species